AGAGUUUGAUCAUGGCUCAGGACGAACGCUGGCGGCGUGCUUAACACAUGCAAGUCGAACGAUGAAGCCCAGCUUGCUGGGUGGAAGAGUGGCGAACGGGUGAGUAACACGUGAGUAACCUGCCCUUCACUCUGGGAUAAGCGCUGGAAACGGCGUCUAAUACUGGAUACGACCCUUACAGGCAUCUGUUGGGGGUGGAAAGAUUUAUCGGUGAAGGAUGGGCUCGCGGCCUAUCAGGUAGUUGGUGAGGUAACGGCUCACCAAGCCGACGACGGGUAGCCGGCCUGAGAGGGUGACCGGCCACACUGGGACUGAGACACGGCCCAGACUCCUACGGGAGGCAGCAGUGGGGAAUAUUGCACAAUGGGCGAAAGCCUGGUGCAGCAACGCCGCGUGAGGGAUGACGGCCUUCGGGUUGUAAACCUCUUUUAGUAGGGAAGAAGCGAAAGUGACGGUACCUGCAGAAAAAGCACCGGCUAACUACGUGCCAGCAGCCGCGGUAAU
rnacentral:rRNA from 1 species